AACGAACGCUGGCGGCAGGCCUAACACAUGCAAGUCGAGCGAAGCCUACGGGCUCAGCGGCGGACGGGUGAGUAACGCGUGGGAACGUGCCCCUUAGUCCAGAAUAGCCCCCGGAAACUGGGAGUAAUACCGUAUGUGGUCGCGCGACCACAGAUUUAUCGCCAAACGAUCGGCCCGCGUUGGAUUAGGUAGUUGGUGGGGUAAGGGCCUACCAAGCCGACGAUCCCUAGCUGCUUUGAGAGGAUGAUCAGCCACACUGGACCUGAGACACGGCCCAGACUCCUACGGGAGGCAGCAGUGGGGAAUCUUAGACAAUGGGGGAAACCCUGAUCUAGCCAUGCCGCGUGAUGGAUGAAGGCCUUAGGGUUGUAAAGAUCUUUCAGUGGGGAAGAUAAUGAAUGUACCCACAGAAGAAGCCCCGGCUAACUCCGUGCCAGCAGCCGCCGCAGUAA
rnacentral:rRNA from 1 species